AUUAUUGAAAAUUUUUUUCGCUAAAGUAAUGAAGUAUGAUUUGUACUUCAUAUAUAUGUGUAUUUGUCUGAUUAGAAGGUAUUUUUUUUUAAAUCCGGACUAGAGAAGGUCUUAGGCAGUACUCUAUAAUCCGACAAAUAGUAGAUCGAUAGUUCCACACUGCCCUGCAAAACGUUUGUCGGAUUACCGAGGGUCCACUGUAAUGGCUUUAAAAGGACAUUCCGAAUCAGUGGUAGAUUCAUUUGAUGAUUCGAAAAUAUUUUAUAACUAAGAACUUUUCUAUUUCUAUGUCUAAUAGCUGAUGUUAGAUCAAAAUAAUUGUUUUGUACUUAUUAUCAAUAGCUAUAACAGUUUAUAUCGAUUCUUUAACUAAUUUGUAAGAGUAAAAUUGAACGCUACCGUAAGAUAAGUGCCGCACGCAAUGAAUUUUUUAUUGCGUUCAAUCAUUUAUACAAGUUACGCCAUAAUUAAGUAAAAGUUAAUACUUUGGGGGCGUAAAUAUUGAUUUGACGAGAUGAGAGAUUGUAUUGUAAUAAGUCUUAUUCCGUUUAUCCGCCCUAAAACAGCCAUCCUAGGAUGUAGGUAUACCCGAAAACGUGUAUCCAUCUAUCCACCUCGGAAUAACGGAAUCUGUAUAUCAUUUUUUAGUCCGGGAUGUAAAAACGGACAGACAUUUCCCUGUAACAGCCUAGGGUGGCUGUUUUGUGUUGAAUAAACGGAAUAAACGUAAUGUUAUAUAAUCAUCAUUAUAUAAGCCAUAAAAUUACAAAAAUAUUUUUUUAUGAUAGCAAUAUAUCUAUACAAUCAGACUACAAAAUUAUUAUAAUUAUAUUAUGCAAUUAAAAAAUAUAUUAAAAACUACAUAAAAUUUUAUAUGCGAAAUUGUAACGAUUAUUAUGUUAAAGAUUUAGAGCCGUAGCACAGGGCACUUGCACAAAAGUUGUGAUUUACCACAUUGCUACAAUCUCGACCGUUGUGAUUGGCUGAAUUUAUGGUAUUCUUGUUGUCACUGCAUUUUAGCCAAUAGUGGGAGAGAAUCGGCCAAUCAAAGAUUUGUGUAUGUAUGUCGCCACGAUGUAGCUGUCUAACUUUUGUGCAAAAUUCCUUUUCCGAAACCUUGACUAGCGGUCAGUUUAGCUUUUCGUACUAUUGGCGCUCCCACAUGUCGGUUAUAUAACGAUAUAUAACAUGAUAACAUUCUCUAAGGCGCGGGCACAUUUCUAAACAACUUUUACUCUGGCAUCAAAUCUUAAAUGACAAAAAUAUUUUGGUCUUUUAUCGAUAUAUUUACUUGGAUAUCGGCAUAUUUGUAUGCAGCAGUUGAUUGUUUUUUCAUACAAUUGAAGGUUUGGCUCCAUAGUAAAAGUGUUUAUAACAAUUUUAGUACAGUACCUAACCCCUUAUGGGUUAGAACACCCCCCUUUCCGACUAACCAUAUUAGUCUAUGGAAACGACAUCAUAAAAAUGUGCGUACCAUGUCUCCGCGCUUUGCACUUACUACUUCCUAGCAAAAUGUUGCAUUUAAUAACAUUCAACCUUAAUUUAUAAUUGAUACCAUUUUCUUGAUGACAGUCUCAACAAAUACUAUUUGUAUUAUAACAUUAU